UGCCAGCCGCCGCGGUAAUACCGGAAGCCCGAGUGAUGGCCGAUAUUAUUGGGCCUAAAGCGUCCGUAGCUGGCCGAACAAGUCCGUCGGGAAAUCCACGUGCUUAACACGUGGGCGACCGGCGGAAACUGUUCGGCUUGGGGCCGGAGGACCCGAGGGGUACGUCCGGGGUAGGAGUGAAAUCCUGUAAUCCUGGACGGACCACCGAUGGCGAAAGCACUUCGAGAAAACGGAUCCGACAGUGAGGGACGAAAGCCAGGGUCUCGAACCGGAUUAGAUACCCUUGUAGUCC
rnacentral:rRNA from 1 species